rnacentral:rRNA from 1 species
UACGUAGGCAGCGAGCGUUUGUUCGGAGUUACUGGGCGUAAAGGGUGUGUAGGCGGUUGUUUAAGUUUGGUGUGAAAUCUCCCGGCUCAACUGGGAGGGUGCGCCGAAUACUGAAUGACUUGGAGUGCGGGAGAGGAGAGUGGAAUUCCUGGUGUAGCGGUGAAAUGCGUAGAUAUCAGGAGGAACACCGGUGGUGUAGACGGCUCUCUGGACCGUAACUGACGCUGAGACACGAAAAGCGUGGGUAGCAAACAGG